AGCGGCGAGCGCGGGGGCAACCUGGCGGCGAGCGGCGGACGGGUGAGUAAUACAUCGGAACGUGUCCUUUCGUGGGGGAUAACCAGUCGAAAGACUGGCUAAUACCGCAUGAGAUCUCACGAUGAAAGCGGGGGACCGCAAGGCCUCGCGCGAUUGGAGCGGCCGAUGUCGGAUUAGCUAGUUGGCGGGGUAAAAGCCCACCAAGGCUACGAUCCGUAGCUGGUUUGAGAGAACGACCAGCCACACUGGGACUGAGACACGGCCCAGACUCCUACGGGAGGCAGCAGUGGGGAAUUUUGGACAAUGGGGGCAACCCUGAUCCAGCCAUGCCGCGUGUGUGAAGAAGGCCUUCGGGUUGUAAAGCACUUUCGGCCGGAACGAAAUCGCGCGGGCUAUUACCCUGCGUGGAUGACGGUACCGGAAGAAGAAGCACCGGCUAACUACGUGCCAGCAGCCGCGGUAAUACGUAGGGUGCGAGCGUUAAUCGGAAUUACUGGGCGUAAAGGGUGCGCAGGCGGUUCCGCAAGUCAGGCGUGAAAUCCCCGGGCUUAACCUGGGAAUGGCAUUCAGGACUGCGAGGCUCGAGUGUGGCCAGAGGGAGGUGGAAUUCCACGUGUAGCAGUGAAAUGCGUAGAGAUGUGGAGGACCACCGAUGGGCGAAGGCAGCCUCCUGGGCCAGCACUGACGCUCAUGCACGAAAGCGUGGGGAGCAACCAGGAUUAGAUACCCUGGGUAGUCCACGCCUAACGAUGUCACUGGUUGUGGUGGGGUUAACCCAUUAGUACAAGUUACGCGUGAAGUUGACCGCCUGGGAAGUAC
rnacentral:rRNA from 1 species